rnacentral:rRNA from 1 species
UAAGACAACAAAUUCUGCGAGACUAUGCUCCUUUCUUCGUCCCGGCUCAUCGUCGUUCCAGAGCCUUGCUUGCCGUGGGAGAGCGUGUCCAAAGAUUUGUCGAGGGAGAAGCCAAACCGCUUCGCGCAUCUCACCUAAAAUUCUUUAACCAAACGUGUCUUUGUCUGAGUAACGUCUUUUAUAAAGCAAAACUUUCAACAACGGAUCUCUUGGUUCUGGCAUCGAUGAAGAACGCAGCGAAAUGCGAUAAGUAAUGCGAAUUGCAGAAUUCUCGUGAGUCAUCGAAUCUUUGAACGCACAUUGCGCCCUUUGGUAUUCCGAAGGGCAUGCCUGUUCGAGCGUCAUUUUCACCCCUCAAGCCCCCGGCUUGGUGUUGGACGGUCUGGUCCGGGGACCUCAAACCCCCUGGACCCCUCCCAAAGACAAUGACGGCGGGCUGUUGAACCCCCGGUACACUGAGCAUCUUCACGGAGCACGUACCGGUCUCAAGGGUCGACGGCACCCGGUCUAUACCUAUAUUUUUCAAGGUUGACCUCGGAUCAGGUAGGAAUACCCGCUGAACUUAAGCAUAUCAUAGCGGGGGAGGAAACUCGAGACGCUCAUAUUUGCUCUUUGGAAAU